UGGGGAAUUUUGGACAAUGGGGGCAACCCUGAUCCAGCAAUGCCGCGUGAGUGAAGAAGGCCCUCGGGUUGUAAGGCUCUUUUGUCAGGGAAGAAACGGAGUUCUCUAAUAUAGGAUUCUAAUGACGGUACCUGAAGAAUAAGCACCGGCUAACUACGUGCCAGCAGCCGCGGUAAUACGUAGGGUGCAAGCGUUAAUCGGAAUUACUGGGCGUAAAGCGUGCGCAGGCGGUUUUGUAAGUCUGAUGUGAAAUCCCCGGGCUCAACCUGGGAACUGCAUUGGAGACUGCAAGGCUAGAGUGUGUCAGAGGGGGGUAGAACUCCACGUGUAGCAGUGAAAUGCGUAGAGAUGUGGAGGAAUACCGAUGGCGAAGGCAGCCCCCUGGGAUAACACUGACGCUCAUGCACGAAAGCGUGGGGAGCAAACAGGAUUAGAUACCCUGGUAGUCCACGCCCUAAACGAUGUCUACUAGUUGUCGGGACUUAAUUGUCUUGGUAACGCAGCUAACGCGUGAAGUAGACCGCCUGGGGAGUACGGUCGCAAGAUUA
rnacentral:rRNA from 1 species